GAUGAACGCUGACAGAAUGCUUAACACAUGCAAGUCUACUUGAACUUCGGUUUGGGUGGCGGACGGGUGAGUAACGCGUAAAGAACUUGCCUCACAGUUAGGGACAACAUUUGGAAACGAAUGCUAAUACCUGAUAUUAUGAUUUUAGGGCAUCCUAGGAUUAUGAAAGCUAUAUGUGCUGUGAGAGAGCUUUGCGUCCCAUUAGCUAGUUGGAGAGGUAACGGCGCACCAAGGCGAUGAUGGGUAGCCGGCCUGAGAGGGUGAACGGCCACAAGGGGACUGGGACACGGCCCUUACGCCUACGGGAGGCAGCGGUGGGAAAUAUUGGACAAGGGACCAAAAGUCUGAUCCAGCAAUUCUGUGUGCACGAUGACGUUUUUCGGAAUGUAAAGUGCUUUCAGUUGGGAAGAAAAAAAUGACGGUACCAACAGAAGAAGUGACGGCUAAAUACGUG
rnacentral:rRNA from 1 species